rnacentral:SRP_RNA from 1 species
CCGUGCUAAGCGGGGGGUUGCCGGUCCCCUGAACCCGAAACCCGGCAUAUGCGGGGCUUAAUUCCCGCUCUGAGGUUCACCUGUUUUCGGGCAGGUUUUGCGGCGGUGGCGAUGAUGUUCAGGUCCUGCGCAAACAGCGCUAUCUGAACCCCGCCAGGCCCGGAAGGGAGCAACGGUAGGAUAGUUAGCUGUUGUGCCGCAGGGUAGCCUGAACGGAGUCACCAAAGCAAGACCACCGAAAUACAAGGGAAUCGAGGAGCGGGUGCACGG